CACGCUGUAAACGAUGAGUGCUAGACGUUGGGGGGGAACCUUCAGUGUCGCAGCUAACGCAUUAAGCACUCCGCCUGGGGAGUACGGUCGCAAGAUUAAAACUCAAAGGAAUUGACGGGGGCCCGCACAAGCGGUGGGGCAUGUGGUUUAAUUCGACGCAACGCGAAGAACCUUACCAGCUCUUGACAUGGGGAUUCUGGGUUUCAGAGAUGAGACCCUUCAGUUCGGCUGGGUCCCGCACAGGUGC
rnacentral:rRNA from 1 species